rnacentral:rRNA from 1 species
GCUGGCCUCUCGGGGCACGUGCACACCUGAACCUUUAAAUCCACACUNCACCUGUGAACCCAAUGUAAGGGCCCGUAACAAGGCCCCUACGUCUUAUCACAAACCCUUUGCAUGUUUUCAUAGAAUGUUAUUUAUAUCUUCGCCUUAAAAAAGCGUUGGUAAACCUAUACAACUUUCAACAACGGAUCUCUUGGCUCUCGCAUCGAUGAAGAACGCAGCGAAAUGCGAUAAGUAAUGUGAAUUGCAGAUUUUCAGUGAAUCAUCGAAUCUUUGAACGCACCUUGCGCCCCUUGGUAUUCCGAGGGGCAUGCCUGUUUGAGUGUCAUUAAAUUCUCAACCCCUGGAUCUUUCUCGGGGCUUGGACUUGGAGUGUGCUGGCAUCUGGUCGGCUCCUCUCAAAUGCAUCGGCGGAAUUGAACCUUUGGUGUCCGUGCAUCAGUGUGAUAAUUAAUGUUGCGCUGUCGUCGGUCAUGGAAGUCCGCUUAUAAUGGUCUUCGGACAAACCCUUCAUCAAAUUUGACCUCAAAUCAGGUAGGACUACCCGCUGAACUUAAGCAUAUCAAUAAGCGGAGGAAAAGAAACUAACAAGGAUUCCCCUAGUAACUGCGAGUGAAGCGGGAAAAGCUCAAAUUUAAAAUCUGGCGGUCUGGUGGCCGUCCGAGUUGUAAUCUGGAGAAGCGUUUAUCCGCGUCG